UUCUGUGGUCAAGACAAAGUUUAUUCUCAAUAGAACAUCCUACUAGAAGCACAAAUAUUUCAAAACUAUUAAACUACAGAUAUUUCCUUACAAGUGUAUAGUGAUUACUUUUAAGCAAUUUUUUUAGAUGCAAUUUAUUUACUUAAAUGCUUAGCUAUUUGAUAUCUGGUUGAAUUCAGAUAACAAUUGCCUCUUAAUCUGUAAUUGUAAAAUUAUUUAUUUAGCUUGCACUUUUUUUUUAAAAUAGUUCAAGAUGUUGAGUAUUGAUUCAACUUUUAGCUUGGGAGAUAAAUAGCCAAAGCUGUAAAUAGACAGUCCAGGUAAUUGAAACUAGAGGUAAACAUCAUGGGAAGUCCAAUUAUAAGGCAAGUAUUUUUCCUUUAUAUCUUAUUUAACAUAAUUAGUCAAACUAUGUAAUACUUAUAGGCUUUACUAUUGUUUCCAUAGAAAAAACUUUUUUUAAAAUACCAUGAGAUAUUGUAUUUAAGAGAUAUUCUAGCUCAGUAUAUGAUGUUUCCAUAUAUCAUCAGCUUAACAAGCACACAUUCUCUGCUGCCAACAGUACCAAUUUGUCAACCAAGCAACAAAUAUUCCUUGGUAAUCUGCUAUCAGAUAACAGUUUUCUCGUUGGCAUUUUUAUGAAUUAAAGCUUUCAAGGCUUAAAUUUGUUUAGCAUAAUCCUGUACUACAUAUUAACAAAUGUUUGGUGUGUCUAGUUCAUCUCUCUCACUAUGAAGAUGGCUACACACUAUCAGCAAUGCACCCCUAUGAUAUACAAGUCUUCAUUGCCAAGUCACUCUGCCAAACAGUGUGUACACCUUUCUUGCAGUGGUAGUACUUUACUGUACUUCAAUCACUUCAGGAGUCUGGAUAUGUCAGCCCAAGGCCAAGGAGAUCAAGUUUGUGUCCAAGGUUACUUAGGUAAUUCUCUGAGAACAAUAGGUUUUUUUUUUAAAGACAGACACUACAUGUUGCUGAUCUGUGGGUUAGUGGCUCAAUCAUUGUGCACUGAUUCUCCACUGAUGCCUUGAUUGCCAUAAGUUUAUCUACUGAUCUACAGAUCAAGUGAGUUUUUCUCAAAUCAACUAGGGACUAAAUGGUCUAUUAAACAUGAGGUCAAGGAAAAAGGAUGAACAUUUCAAGGCUGCAGGAGGAACAUUAAACAUCUCUCUCACUGUGAAAAGAUUCUACCGAUCUACAAAUGAUCAACAUGUUUAUCUAAAGUUCAUCUGCCAUUUCUUCAAAUGGAGCCAUAGUCAGAAUAAGAUUCUUUUUGUUCUUCCUUAGGUUCAAAUGUAUCAGUUGUUUUUGUUGACAGAUAUCAAGUUUAGUUGCCUACCAGCAGUUUGGUGCUACAAGUCAACAACAGUCAGACUAAAUUAAAUAAAGCCAUGUCUAUUUCUACAUGAUUUUGUUGCUACUAACCUGGUGUUACUAACAACUAACUUGAAAAGGGAGAGGGGAAUUAUCAUCUUAUUCAUGCUCUAACUCUUCAAAUUCUAUAGAAUUGCAGAGAACUGACAUGAAAUAAAACAUUAACAAAAUGUGUAUUAUAAUUGUCAUUUUUCCUCUACUUAGCAUUUUUUUGUCUCCUAGAUUUUCAUAUUUUGUUGAAGUCAUUUCAGUUCUCAAUUAUUUUGUGCACUAAGUUACAAGAAAAAAUUCAAGCAAAAGAGGUCACUACACUAAGACUUUGUCUUCUCAUAAGAAUGGAUGGCUGCCUGGUCAUGUGAUAUGUGUGCUGGACUGUGUGUGGUCAUCUUGAUGCUCAUAUCUUGCCUGAUGACAUUUAUUCUGCUGGACAUUUGGUCAAGGAAGUAGAUUCUCUUCAGCUCUCAAGAAACAUUCAAAACAUGUCAAACAUUUGACAAGAAUAUCAAGCAAGUGCAGUGUACAUACCAACAUGAUGAAGAUGUAGACCAACAUGAUGAAGAUGUAGACCAACAUGAUGAAGAUGUAGACCAACAUGAUGAAGAUGUAGACCAACAUGAUGAAGAUGUAGACCAGCAUGAUGAAGAUGUAGACCAGCAUGAAGAUGUAGACCAACAUGAAGAUGUAGACUGACAUGAAGAUGAAAUGUAGACCAAAAUAUUUAUCAAGAGAUGUAUGGAAUAAAAAGUGAACAUCUUGAGAGGGAAAACAAUUCCUAUAGGCAAAGACACAGACACAGCAGAUACAUAAGAGAUUGUUUCCUUUUCUACCAUCAUUUAGAGCCUUUUUUGUGAGGGAACCUGCAUCUGAAAGAACUGAACAUUUCCCUAAUGCUACUUCAAAUUCAGAUCUCCUCCCAACCUCAGGCUGAGUACCCGUGGUCACCUACUUUAUGUUACAUUACCAUAGCACUACAGACAGUGGAAAACAAAUUAUAUGAAGGAAUGCAACCACCAUCAGAUAUUGUUGUCUUUACAGACUCCCAAUCUACUCUUCAAGAACUUAACAGCAGCACCUCAAACAGCCCAAGAGAGUUGACAACACUCAUUGUGAUAAUCCAUCAGAUGAUAUCAAAAUUAAAUAUCAAUAUCACACUACAGUGGAUCCCUGGACACAUUGGCAUCAUGGGAAAUGAAAAGGCAGAUAAGCUAUCAAAGGCAGGUUCAUCUAUGGAACAACCAGAUAGACCUGUUAACUACCUCACCCUAAGGUCAAUGUUAGUCAACAAUCAUAAAGAGGAGUGGCUCAACCAAUGGGCAUCAGGAAACACAGGCAGAGCCAUGUACAAAGAAAUGACUACACCUAACAAACUGGACAGUAUUAACUUCCUCCCCCUGCAAAGAACAAUCUACAAUUUUCCAACUAAGAACAGGACACACUCCACUAUUAAAUUACCACCUGAACAAAAUAAACUCCACACAACUCCUCCUUUGCAGACACUGCGCCCACCCCUUUGAAACCGUAAACCAUAUCCUCUUUGAAUGCUCCUCCCUAAUCCACCUUAGGCAGACCCUACUUCCACUACAGCCCAACAUAACCAACACCCUGUACGGCAGUGCUGAACAACUGAAGAAAACAGCACACUUUUUUUCCUUGGCACAGUCUGCAAAAGAGCUUACAGCUCAGCAGCAAUAAAGCUGGCUAGAAGAAGAAGAAGAAAAAGAGGUUACAUUACAAGAAGUGGUCGCAAAGUCAGAAAACCUAACAGAUGACAAUGAGUGGAACAAUCAUUUCUGAUACAGGUACAAGUACUCAAGUGAUGUACUUUGUAAGAACUAAUUAGGUGGAAUCACCAUAAUUGAUUUCUAUCUUGUUCUAUAUAUAGGUAUAUCUUGACAAUCAGUCCAGUCAUUGUUCAUUCUUUUUUAAUAUUCCUUUUGUUCCCUCAAUCAUCUUGUUGUUUCAGUUAAUGUUUUUAUCUUUUUUGUUUUUGGAGGAGGGAGGGGCUGUCGUAUAUUAUUAUUAUUAUUGAAGUCACAACACCAAAGCCUUGAUACAUUAUGCUUUUAAUUCAAUUUAUUAUCUCCCCUGCUUUUGUGUGCUAUCAUAUUAAUGUCCAUUAGUGUCACAUCCAUGCACAAUUUUUUCUAUGCUUUUUAUAGUGUAAAUAGUGACUUGACAUUAUUUAGAUCAAUUAUAUGUUAUAUUAUAUUUAAACUAAAACUGUUAGCAUUUUCUAUGAUGUUAUUAAUAUGAAUGUGUUUGUGUGUUGCUAUGAAUGCAUUUUAAGUUUUAGUCUGAAAUCAUAAAUAAGAAAUUGUUUCAUAAACAAAGAUUAUAUUAAUAUUUAAUAUUGUCAGACUUCACUAUAGCAUUGAGUUCAUCCCCAUAAUCUAUUUAAAACUUUCAAAUACUAAUUCACUUUGUCUUAUCUAAUGGUGAUCAUGGGGGUAUCCACUAUUCAUAUUCUCUGGUAUGAACACUCACUGUCCUGGUUAGGGCUAGGAUGUAAUCUCUAUUUCUGAUGGAACACAUGUAAAACCAAGAAAAGAAACAGUAGACCUAGACUUUAUUAACAGGUCAUGCAAGCAUUUUUUUAUAAUUGUGAACUGAUGCUCUCAGAGCUAUUUUUAUGUAUUUUUAUUUUUGCUACUUUUGUAGACUAGUGCUAAGCUGUAUGCUUAUACUUCCGCCUAUUAUUAUAUGGGUUAGGGCGAUGCUGUUUCCUGUACUGUUGACCAGAGUGUGUCAGUUUUAAUUAUUCUGUACUUUGAACUGCCUUUAAGUUUCAGAAUUUGUUUUUUUUUUUCUAUAUGUAAAGCUACUUUAUAUAUAUAGUUAUAUAUUAUGGUACAUUAUUUUUCUAAUUGAAACAACCGUCAAAAUAAUUGGCAGUUUGUUUUUUUAAAGUUUGUUUUAAAAUGAUGGCCACUUCUAAUGUUUAUGUACUAGAUCUUUUCCUAAUUUUUUUGUUUUUUUUAUCUGC